CGACCAAGCUAUGCGGUUGAACACCUUUUUAUGAGGCGUUAGGAAAGUCCGGGCAUCACAGAGCAGGAUAGCUGCUAACGGCAGCCGAGGGCGACCUUAGGGCAAGUGCAACAGAGAUAUACCGCCGCAUUUUCAAAAAUGCGGUAAGGGUGGAAAGGCGAGGCAAGAGCUCACCGGAGCAAUGGAGACAUUGCUGCCAUGUAAACCCUAUCCGAUGCAACGUCUAUUGGUGCAGUGCGUCAAUGUCUGCUCGGCAGGCGUACUGUAAUGACGGCUAAAGCGUUUCGGCGACGAUUCGCUCAGAUAGAUUUCCGCACACGACAGAACCCGGCUUAUCGGCUUGAUCGGUAU
rnacentral:RNase_P_RNA from 1 species